rnacentral:piRNA from 1 species
UGACCUUCAAGUGCAGGUUUCAGAAUACCACC